CCUACGGGAGGCAGCAGUGGGGAAUAUUGCACAAUGGGCGAAAGCCUGAUGCAGCACCGCCGCGUGAAGGAAGAAGGCCUUCGGGUCGUAAACUUCUGUCCUUGGGGAAGAAGAACUGACGGUACCCAAGGAGGAAGCCCCGGCUAACUACGUGCCAGCAGCCGCGGUAAUACGUAGGGGGCAAGCGUUAUCCGGAUUUACUGGGUGUAAAGGGAGCGUAGACGGUUAUGCAAGUCUGAAGUGAAAGCCCAAGGCUCAACCAUGGGACUGAUUUGGAAACUGUAAAACUGGAGUGCAGGAGAGGUAAGCGGAAGUCCUAGUGUAGCGGUGAAAUGCGUAGAUAUUAGGAGGAACACCAGUGGCGAAGGCGGCUUACUGGACUGUAACUGACGUUGAGGCUCGAAGGCGUGGGGAGCAAACAGGAUUAGAUACCCCUGUAGUC
rnacentral:rRNA from 1 species